rnacentral:SRP_RNA from 1 species
GCCGGGCGUGGUGGCGCAUGCCUGUAAUCCCAGCUACUUGGGAGGCUGAGGCAGGAGAAUCGCUCGAACCCGGGAGGUGAAGGUUGCAGUGAGCCGAGAUCGUGCCACUUCACUACAGCUUGGGUGACAGAGCAAGACCCUGUCUCAA